UCCGACCUCGUUGGGCCUAGCCGAACUUGGACCGGAUUCGUUUCCAUGGAUACGUCUCCGCUGAUGUGCACUAUUAACAUCUAGCCCAGGACCAGGAGUAAAGGUCCAAGUGAUGAACACUGAAGAGGAGCCAUUUGGAUUGGAUCGGCAUUUCUUUAGCUAUUCCUGUGUCGACUGUCGAGCCUUGCACAAAGAAAUCUCCUCGAUUCACUCCUCCUUGUACUCAUAAAUCCUUCAAGCCCUCGUGCUGUAUUGUUCGGCCGCUGCAUAUCUCUGCUGUUCUGUCAACGGAAACAAGAGAAUAUUGUCUAAGUAGAUCCAAAACAUGUUGACUCCCAAUCCCAAAUCUACCAUCAGAUUUAGGAUAUGGGUUCUUCUCUUCUCACUGUUUUUUCUCGCUACCUCCAAUUUAGCCAAAUCUGAAACCGGUUUUCGAGCAACUAAGAAGAGAUUUAUGAGAGAGAAGGUCCGGAAAAUGUUUUACCAUGCAUACAACAACUACAUGACUUAUGCAUUUCCGCAUGAUGAGCUAAAGCCUCUUACGAAGACAUUCGCUGACUCACUUAGUGAGCUUGGAAAUUUGAAGCUUGAACACUUACCUCAAAACUAUAAUGGAUCAGCGCUUACACUUAUCGAAUCAUUAUCCAGUCUUGUUGUAUUGGGCAACAACACAGAAUUUGAAAGAGCAGUUCUUUGGCUUUCUGAGAAUCUCACCUUUGACGUUGAUGCAAGGAUAAACCUAUUUGAGUGCAACAUAAGAGUUCUUGGAGGGCUUCUUUCUGCUCAUAUUCUUGCAACUGAUUCUAGGAGCAGGUUGGUUCAAGGGAAAUAUAAUAAUCAGCUUCUUGCUUUGGCUGAAGAUUUAGGAAAGCGCUUUCUAUAUGCAUUUGCUACUCCCACUGGAUUACCAUAUGCAUGGGUUAAUCUUAAGUAUGGUGUGAUGGAGAAUGAGACAACUGAAACAAGCACUUCAGGAUGUGGUUCACUCAUCCUUGAAAUGGGGGCAUUAUCAAGGUUAACUGGGGACCCCAGAUAUGAAGCUGCCGCUUUGCGUGCUCUUCAUAAGCUAUGGAGCAUGCGAAGUCCUUUAAAUCUCCUAGGAACUACACUUGAUGUGGUCACUGGGGAAUGGAUAGAGUAUUCAUCUGGCAUUGGGGCUGGAGUUGAUUCCUUCUAUGAGUAUCUAAUCAAAGCUCACAUUCUUUUUGGAAGGGAGGAGUUCUGGGACAUUUUUCAUUCUGCAUAUGUUGCUGUGCAGAAAUAUUUCCGGCAUGGACCAUGGUAUCAUGAAGCUGAUAUGAGGACUGGAAGGGCUACAUACUGGCAGCUUACAAGCCUUCAAGCAUUUUGGCCUGGCCUACAGGUUCUUGUUGGAGACAUUUUGGCUGCUAAUUCAUCCCAUCAUGAGUUUUUUCAUGUGUGGGAAAAAUUUGGUGUGCUACCAGAAAGGUAUUUGCUGAACCAUGAAAUGUUGCAUCCUACUGAGAAAUAUUAUCCUCUACGCCCUGAAUUGGCAGAGUCCACAUUUUACUUAUAUCAAGCUACCAAAGAUCCUUGGUACAUGGAAGUGGGUGAAUCAAUUGUAAAUUCUCUUAAUUUAUAUACUAAAGUGGAAGGUGGGUUUGCAAGCAUAAAAGAUGUGACAACCAUGCAACUGGAAGAUCAUCAACAUAGCUUCUUCCUGGCAGAAACGUGCAAAUAUCUUUAUCUUCUUUUUGAUGAUUCAUUUUUGGCUGAUCAAAAUUAUAUAUUUACAACUGAGGGUCAUCCUCUUCCUGUAUUAAGUAGUUGGCAUGAGAGGCUUCCCGAGACCUUCACUUCAACUAAUUGGACUUUUGUCAAGGGAAUUAGCCAAGUAAAACGUGCAAGUGCAAUGUCUUUGCAAGUUUGUCCAGCAUCUACACUGGUACGAGGAACUACUGCCCAAUUGGUGGAGAGUGCUUGCCAUGUCCCUGAUGCUCGUGCUGACCACAGGUGCAUGACUGAUGAGGAAUGUGGAAUUGACUCAACUAGUUGUCGGCAAAGAACAUGCAGCAUGGCUGGCUACUGUGGCCUGUGGCUGCUGUUCAUACCUUAAUUCCUUGUUAACCCUCUUGCUGCCUACACCAUAAGGCCAUUUUUCUUUUUUCUUUUUUUUCCCUUUUCCGACAAGGAAUAACUGCAAAUCCCAUGGAACAAGAUUAGCGCGUAAGGGUCUUUUUUCUGUACCAUAUUCAAAUUCAUGGCCCACUGCUGGAUACUGAUGGCAUUGGCAUUCAAAUUACAAGUUUGCCAAGCUCUUCACUGCCAAUAAGCUUCAUUUUACAUAUAAUCAAUGAGCGCAGAACCAUGUGCUUGUUCUUCCGUGAUUGAUUUUGCCUCUCCAACGUGUGCCCAGGUACAGAUAUUAGAUAUCCUCCCUUAUGAGUGUGUUUUGUUCCCUAGAUGUUUCUUAAUAGGAGUUUAUCAAAAUAUCGUCAUGUUAUUAUUAAAUCAACAUUUUUUCCAUCAUAUUUAUCCGCAUGUAUUGAUAUUCAUAAAAGUGGAUUUUGAUUUA